UGACUGAAUGAGCACAGAGGCACAGAAAAGUCAUCAUUCAGAAGCAGAAUAGCCAAGGAAGGUCCCAUGGAGGCAGCCAGAUCCAAUGUGAGCACUGAACAGUGGAGGACGUGAUCACAGGGAAAAGAGGGAAGUCAUGAAAUCCAGGGAAUACACAGAGACAGAAUCUCUCAAGGACCUGAUGAAUGGUUGAGGAAACACUGAAAGAUCAUGCAACAUUAACAAGCAACAGGAAGG